rnacentral:tRNA from 1 species
UCUAAAAUGGCAGAUCAUUGCAUGGGACUUAAGCUCCCAAUAGGAAAGCUUAUUUCUUUUAGAA